ACAAGAGCCCUUUUUAGGGCUACAAAUUCUUUUUUAAAGAGAUUA
rfam:Glossina morsitans morsitans, isolate Yale, WGS project CCAG01000000 data, contig: ctg10015406